rnacentral:rRNA from 1 species
GACAGAGGAUACAAGCGUUAUCCGGAUUUAUUGGGUUUAAAGGGUGCGUAGGCGGUUUUUUAAGUCAGUAGUGAAAUCUUAAAGCUUAACUUUAAAAGUGCUAUUGAUACUGAAAAACUAGAGUAAGGUUGGAGUAACUGGAAUGUGUGGUGUAGCGGUGAAAUGCAUAGAGAUCACACAGAACACCGAUAGCGAAAGCAAGUUACUAACCCUAUACUGACGCUGAGUCACGAAAGCAUGGGGAGCAAACAGG